rnacentral:rRNA from 1 species
CAGGCCUAACACAUGCAAGUCGAGCGAAUGGAUUGAGAGCUUGCUCUCAAGAAGUUAGCGGCGGACGGGUGAGUAACACGUGGGUAACCUGCCCAUAAGACUGGGAUAACUCCGGGAAACCGGGGCUAAUACCGGAUAACAUUUUGAACUGCAUGGUUCGAAAUUGAAAGGCGGCUUCGGCUGUCACUUAUGGAUGGACCCGCGUCGCAUUAGCUAGUUGGUGAGGUAACGGCUCACCAAGGCAACGAUGCGUAGCCGACCUGAGAGGGUGAUCGGCCACACUGGGACUGAGACACGGCCCAGACUCCUACGGGAGGCAGCAGUAGGGAAUCUUCCGCAAUGGACGAAAGUCUGACGGAGCAACGCCGCGUGAGUGAUGAAGGCUUUCGGGUCGUAAAACUCUGUUGUUAGGGAAGAACAAGUGCUAGUUGAAUAAGCUGGCACCUUGACGGUACGUAACCAGAAAGCACGG